rnacentral:rRNA from 1 species
UACAGAGGUCCCAAGCGUUGUUCGGAUUCACUGGGCGUAAAGGGUGCGUAGGUGGUUGGGUAAGUCUGAUGUGAAAUCUCCGAGCUUAACUCGGAAAUGGCAUUGGAUACUAUUCGGCUAGAGGGUUUGAGGGGGGACUGGAAUACUUGGUGUAGCAGUGAAAUGCGUAGAUAUCUGGAGGAACACCGGUGGCGAAGGCGGCAUCCUGGACCAACACUGACGCUGAGGAGCGAAAGCCAGGGGAGCAAACGGG